UCCAGAAUGAUUUAUAGUCUUCAUAGCUUGAAAGUUGGGCUUAUUUUUAUGUCUUCAAUACGACCAGUUCGUCCUGUAAACAUAAGUAAUACCGGCAUUUUCAGCUCCACCGCCGUUAAGGCUUAAAAGAUAGUUUUAUUUACAGGAUUUAUAUCAUGUCACAAGUAACUGGUGUAGUUAAGUGGUUCAACUCUGACAAAGGUUUCGGUUUCAUCGAGCAAGAGUCUGGUCCAGACGUGUUUGUACACUUCCGCGCCAUCAACUCUGACGGCUUCAAGACUCUGGACGAAGGUCAGAAAGUAUCCUUCACUGUUACUCAGGGCCAAAAAGGUCCUCAAGCUGAAAACGUUUCUGUUAUCGGCUAAUCGCUUUUCGGGGUAACCCGAGCGAUACAGUAAUCAACCGCGCGAGCCUACACUCCUAAAGAAGUGUAAGGAAAGCGCGGUUUUUU
rnacentral:sRNA from 1 species